AUUGAACGCUGGCGGCAGGCCUAACACAUGCAAGUCGAACGAGUGGCGGACGGGUGAGUAAUGUCUGGGAAACUGCCCGAUGGAGGGGGAUAACUACUGGAAACGGUAGCUAAUACCGCAUACCAUCGGAUGUGCCCAGAUGGGAUUCGCUAGUAGGUGGGGUAACGGCUCACCUAGGCGACGAUCCCUAGCUGGUCUGAGAGGAUGACCAGCCACACUGGAACUGGGACACGGUCCAGAAGCCUACGGGAGGCAGCAGUGGGGAAUAUUGCACAAUGGGCUCAAGCCGGAUGCCGCCAUGCCGCAUGUAUGAAGAAGGCCUUCGGGUUGUAAAGGACUUUCAGUGGGGAGGCGUUACCCGCAGAAGAAGCACCGGCUAACUCCGUGCCAGCAGCCGCGGUAAUAC
rnacentral:rRNA from 1 species